AAGUCGUAACAAGGUCUCCGUAGGUGAACCUGCGGAGGGAUCAUUCACAUGAUAUACUUUAAUAAACAAACUGUGAACUUUAUUAUAUACUAUUCGUGUUUCUUAUCAGUUUUACUGUAUAAUAAACAUUGUCAUUCGAUUGAACAUAAGAUAGUUGGCUUGAAAUAUUUUAAAUAUUUCUUUCUCAGCUUUGAUUUGAUAUAACUAAACAUUUUAUCACUUCAACCAUAAAACAUAGAAACAACUCUAUGCCCUGGAUAUCUUGGUUCUC
rnacentral:misc_RNA from 1 species